rnacentral:rRNA from 1 species
CGAAGGGUGCUAGCGUUGUUCGGAAUCACUGGGCGUAAAGCGUGCGUAGGCGGCUUUACAAGUCAGGGGUGAAAUCCUGGAGCUUAACUCCAGAAUUGCCUUUGAAACUGUAAAGCUGGAGUACUGGAGGGGAUAGCGGAAUUCCUAAUGUAGAGGUGAAAUUCGUAGAUAUUAGGAGGAACACCGGUGGCGAAGGCGGCUAUCUGGACAGUAACUGACGCUCUGGCACGAAAGCGUGGGUAUCAAACAGGAUUAGAUACCCUGGUAGUCCACGCUGUAAACGAUGGAUGUUAGCCGUCGGGUCAGUUAAGUACGAGUGUAUCUCGUAUUUAAUUGACUCGGUGGCGUAGCUAACGCGUUAAACAUCCCGCCUGGGGAGUACGGUCGCAAGAUUA